rnacentral:lncRNA from 1 species
GCCUGUUCUAUGCUACUGAAAACGAACACACAGAGAUGUCUGUGUCAGGCAUUCAGCGCAGCCGCCAUCGCUGGGAACAAAUCCGUAGCAGCUGAAGAUGAAAAUAGCUUCCACGGCACUUAGAAUGGAAAUCCAAGCUUCCCUUUGGUACGGGAAAGGAGUGUUCGUUGCCGCUUCGACAAACAAACGGGGGGCCUAAGGUGCCACAGAUAGAGACUGCGCCUGUCUGCUUCAUAAUUUCGUGACUUUGUUCUGUGGGGAAGGGAAGAAAAGGCUUCGCCUGUGUUCUCCUGAGUGGGUUUAGGAGAAAAAAGCGACAGUUCAUAUC